UGGGAAAACUAGGCCUGAGCUCAGA
rnacentral:piRNA from 1 species